AAAAGCUCAAAUUUGAAAUCUAGCACCUUCGGUGUUCGAGUUGUAAUUUGAAGAUGGUAACCUUGGGUUUGGCUCUUGUCUAUGUUCCUUGGAACAGGACGUCAUAGAGGGUGAGAAUCCCGUCUGAUGAGAUGCCCAUUCCUAUGUAAGGUGCUAUCGAAGAGUCGAGUUGUUUGGGAAUGCAGCUCUAAGUGGGUGGUAAAUUCCAUCUAAAGCUAAAUAUUGGCGAGAGACCGAUAGCGAACAAGUACAGUGAUGGAAAGAUGAAAAGAACUUUGAAAAGAGAGUGAAAAAGUACGUGAAAUUGUUGAAAGGGAAGGGCAUUAGAUCAGACUUGGUGUUUUACGAUUAUCUUCUCUUCUUGAGUUGUGCACUCGUAUUUCACUGGGCCAGCAUCGAUUCGGAUGGCAAGAUAAUGGCAGUUGAAUGUGGCUUCACUUCGGUGGAGUGUUAUAGCUUCUGCUGAUAUUGCCUGUCUGGAUCGAGGGCUGCGUCUUUUGACUAGGAUGCUGGCGUAAUGAUCUAAUGCCGCCCGUCU
rnacentral:rRNA from 1 species